rnacentral:misc_RNA from 1 species
ACGACACGCCAGCUCAACGGAACGAGUGUUUUAGGCUCAUUGCUUCACCAGUCACCACCCCGACAGAGACCGCCACCGUCAAGCAUGUUGGGUGCACCGAGUCCGGCAGCAGGCGAAUUCAGACGCCGUCUUGCACGGCUUCAGGGGUGAAGGGCGGACUAGGCAGCAGAGGCACUAACGGGCCGAAGAAGAUCCCGGCAGCCAUCUCCGCGCCGAGGGGCAGCACCAGCCGCGAGAACCCUCAAAAAACUCGGAAGACAGGGCUGCCCGUCGGGUAGCCGGUGGAGGGACAAGACAAUGAGAUUGCUCACAGGGAUGGCAGUUAGCCACGCCGGAAGACGAAACGCCACGGAGCUGCAUUUUCUUCUGCUAGAGUGCAUGCUAACGCAGCUGUGCUGCACGCGCACACGGACUGGCAGCUUGUCGGCUUGGCUGCCCUGAUUAUGCGCAUACGAUGCGCACAACGAGACUGCAUCCAGCCGCCACACUCUCUCCAGGACCUUUCCGGUGCAGACGUGGAAAAAGCGACCCUUCGUUAUCAGAUUCAGAGGGGUCCCUCACACUCCCAUGCGGCUGUGCCGGGCCGCGGCACUCGUGCGAGAGCGAACGGAGGCGCUGACUAUGGAGGGGGUUGGGGCUCGAGACCGCAUUGCCACAGCAGUAAGUGGUGUGCCGAGCGUGACGUGAAUGAGCGGGAAUGUGUGUGUGUGUACGCCGGAGAGAGAGUUAGUCUCUAGGCGACUCACGACCAGCAUCAGAGAACGCACACUUUCUUCUCUACCCAGUCCUCCAUGCUGAGCCGAGGGGGGACGAAAGCGAACGAUCGCCGAUGCGAUGCGUGAGAAAUGGCAACACUCAGGAGUUCUCCCUGUCAAUAUCGCAGCGCCGCCUAGCGCUGCUGCCAAAGUCUCAGUCACUCCUCUCUUCUCUCGGUGUGCGGGCAUUGGGGUGCUGUGUUUGGACCCGUUGCUCGCGUCGACGACAUCUUUUGAGUCGACACGCCUUUUCGAGGGGCAUGUGUUCCUAUCCCUCGGUUGCGUUGCGGCCAGCCCAUGAGUGCGGCGCGUUCUUCAUUCUACGAGACUUAUUUGCUCCCUCUCUUUUCCCUGUCUUCCUCUCUCUACCUCUGCCACUGCAACUGUGCCGCGUGUCGGGCGGUGAUGUCGCCGCCUUUAUCGUAUGCCCACCUCUGCAUAUCUGCAUACGCGAUGCUCCUGGGUGUGGGUGUCUCUGCGUACUCGCAUCUGCAUGUGUCACUUUCGUCGUCGCAG